GCCUGGCUUCCGAGUUUCGUCAAUCGUCAUCCAAAUUUCCACGUGUAUCGAAUGUGGUUACUAGUAAUAUAUGGUGUAUUUAAUUUGGCACGUUUCAUUGUUUUAGCACUUAAAAGAUUCCAUAAUUUGCUUAGGUUUUGUGAAAUCAAAUUAAUCAUGUCAUUUUUUCAUUAUGCAACAUAUAAAUAUGUUACAAUACGUGACUCAAGGCUUGGAGUUGGGUAUUACUUAACAGCUGCUCUUAUUAUCACUUUCACAAUGGCAGAAGUAUUUAUAAGCAAAGGUUAUUUAGAGG